GACGAACGCUGGCGGCGUGCUUAACACAUGCAAGUCGAACGGAAAGGCCCUGCUUUUGUGGGGUGCUCGAGUGGCGAACGGGUGAGUAACACGUGAGUAACCUGCCCUUGACUUUGGGAUAACUUCAGGAAACUGGGGCUAAUACCGGAUAGGAGCUCCUGCUGCAUGGUGGGGGUUGGAAAGUUUCGGCGGUUGGGGAUGGACUCGCGGCUUAUCAGCUUGUUGGUGGGGUAGUGGCUUACCAAGGCUUUGACGGGUAGCCGGCCUGAGAGGGUGACCGGCCACAUUGGGACUGAGAGACGGACCAGACUCCUACGGGAGGCAGCAGUGGAGAAUAUUGCACAAUGGGCGGAAGCCUGAUGCAGCAACGCCGCGUGCGGGAUGACGGCCUUCGGGUUGUAAACCGCUUUCGCCGGUGACGAAGCGUGAGUGACGGUAAUGGGUAAAGAAGCACCGGCUAACUACGUG
rnacentral:rRNA from 1 species